UACGGAGGGUGCGAGCGUUUGUCCGGAAUCACUGGGCGUAAAGGGCGCGUAGGCGGCGCGGAAAGUCGUCGGUGAAAGCUCGGGGCUCAACCCUGAGUCUGCCGGUGAUACUCCCGCGCUCGAGCUCACUAGAGGCAGAUGGAAUUCCGGGUGUAGCGGUGGAAUGCGUAGAGAUCCGGAAGAACACCGGUGGCGAAGGCGGUCUGCUGGGGUGAGGCUGACGCUGAUGCGCGACAGCAUGGGGGAGCAAACAGG
rnacentral:rRNA from 1 species